rnacentral:rRNA from 1 species
CUGUGCAAAGGUAGCAUAAUCAUUAGUUUUUUAAUUGAAAGCUGGAAUGAAUGGUUUAAUAAGAAAAAUUCUGUCUCAUUUUUAAGUUUAAAAUUUUAUUUUUAAGUUAAAAAGCUUAAAUUUAUUAAAAAGACGAGAAGACCCUUUAGAGUUUUAUAAGAAAAAAUUGAUUAUUAUUUAGAUUUAAAUUUAAAAUUGGUUUUUAUUAUUUUAUUGGGGUGAUUUAAAAAUUUAAGUAACUUUUUAUUUAUUUUAUCAUUAAUUUAUGUAUAAAUGAUCUUGAUUUUUGGAUUAUAAGAAUAAUUACCUUAGGGAUAACAGCGUAAUUUUUUUUGAGAGUUCUUAUCGAAAAAGAAGUUUGCGACCUCGAUGUUGGAUUAAAAUUAAAUUUUGGCGUAGAAGUUAAAAAUUUAGGUCUGUUCGACCUUUAAAAUU